UAUUUGAUGACUGUUACGAAGUGUUGCGCAUACGGGUCAUUUCCUGCU
rnacentral:ncRNA from 1 species